rnacentral:rRNA from 1 species
GUGGAUUAGAUACCCUGGUAGUCCACGCCGUAAACGAUGGGCACUAGAUGCUUGGGGGAGCGACCCCCUGAGUGUCGUCGCUAACGCAGUAAGUGCCCCGCCUGGGGAGUACGGCCGCAAGGCUGAAACUCAAAGGAAUUGACGGGGGCCCGCACAAGCGGUGGAGCAUGUGGUUUAAUUCGACGCAACGCGAAGAACCUUACCUAGGCUUGACAUAGCCGAGAAAGCUUCCAGAAACGGGAGCCCCUCUUCGGAGUUCGGUUACAGGUGCUGCAUGGCCGUCGACAACU